rnacentral:sRNA from 2 species
CAGCCAUGUAACUCGAGACAAAUCCCCAGCUGGAGUGACAUCUCUCAGGUCAUCUUGCUCUUCUCUCUGCAACAGUUGCUUUCUCUCCUUCUUUUUCUUAUCUUUCGUGUGGACGGUAUGUUCCCCACAAGAAUUAAUUAGCUGCUGAUUUCCCACGAUGUUGUGCGAAGAUUGACUUUGAUCUGCCAAGGUCAUUUCCUCUCGCUGGAGGAUUCUAUCUUGAGAAUCUUCACUGCACACCUCAGCUUUAUCAGCUCUUCCUUUUUCUAUUUGCUUCUCUUUAACUGGUUUGAGCCUCACUUGCACUCAUUACACAACUCAUUUGCCGGUGUCUUUUCUUCCCUGUUCAUCUCGCUGGUAGAAAUAUUAUGUUCACUCUGCAUCCUGAUAGCAAGAUUCUAUAACAAAGGAUCCAUUCUUUUGCAUUCUACAGAUUUUGUUGACUGGCUGCUUCAUGGAACUGUUUUAUCCUCAUAGAAUUGCCAAUCGAGGUCGAUUACGCCAUUAUCCCCAAAGAGACCGUUCGCUGAGACGGAAGCUAUCUUGAAGAUAGAAGCGCAAACACUCUAGUAGUAGUGUCUCACAACCUAUCUCUUUUGGUUUACCUUUGCUUUGAAGAAGCGCCUGGAGCCCAAUUUUUUCGCCUU